GAGUCAUUAAUGACAUAAUUUUCAUUUUUGGCUGAACUAAGGCUUUAAGGCCUGGGUACACUUCACAUUCAGCGUUCCAUUUCGUCUCGCGCACAGCCGCGUCCGCACAGCUUUCAAAAGUAUACUCAACCGCAGAUGACCGUGGACGGAUGAACUCGACACAUUCGCAGUACCACGGGGUGAGCGGCUGUCCACGAGCCCUCUUCAUUACGAAAAUAACGUAAUGCUGAAGAUGCGCAGACGGCCGAAAUAUACUCUGGCCUUUACUUGAUCGGCAACCGGCCGUUUUUUGCCUUAUUGCAACUCUCUGUUCUGGAUAAUAUCUGGGUGAGCUGUCUCUCUCACUCACUCACAACCCUCUACGGACACCUUGGCAAUUGAAUCGCCAUUGGCUAAUAUUAGACAUCAUUUAGUUGCCGGAAUGAAGAUUUAGUCGCAUAUGCGAUUGAUUCACUCACAAUGUAGAGGGUUGACUCAUGCGGCUCUCUUACCGUCACUGUGUGCAGGAGGUGUUCCACUCACGGCUGCUGAAGGAGGAAGAGGAGGACCGAAUGCAGGAGGAGGAAGAGGAGGACCGAAUGCAGGAGGAGGAAGAGGAGGUGUUCCUCUCACAGCCGCUGGAGGAGGAAGAGGAGGUCCGGCCCCUUGAGGAGGAGGACCAAAUGUCUGAGGGGGAGUCAUAACAUUCAGCGCAGGAGGAGCUACACGUCAGAAGAGGAGAAAGCAGAACAUCAAUGAGCAUUACACAACACUAUCAAGGAAUAAAGCUAUUCACUCUGCAUAAUCUGAACCAGCUUUGGCUUCACCAUCUCAUUCAAACGGUCCUGCAGUGAAUGAAAAGGAACUUCUAAAAGCAGAAAUACUACAUGCAGCUCAAUUAACGUGAGGUCAU
ensembl:lncRNA